ACCUAUGUGGGAAACUUGAGCCCCUUGUCCUCUGCCAGUGUUUUGGGAUCCAAUCUCGUUUACAACUCUAGGAAUCAAGGUGACUCAGGAUCUAGAUCAACAACCAACACUAAUCUCCCCGAGAGACCUGAUCAACCUGAAUGUCGGUAUUUUAUGAACAAUGGGACCUGCAAAUAUGGAUCUGACUGCAAGUACCAUCACCCAA
rnacentral:misc_RNA from 1 species